rnacentral:lncRNA from 1 species
AUAUUGCCAAAAUGACUGGAAAUAUUUUCCUGUGCCCCCAUCGACGUAAUACACUUUUGGGUAUUACCAAUUUGUGGCCGUAUUAAAUCAAUUACAAUACUCUAUUAGUCACCAUGAAGAGCCAUAAAAACUAAAAUUUUUGACACCUUUUCAAAAUUUGGAGACUAUUAACUUACCGGCCCAUCUAAGGCAUUUUUAGAAAACUAGAAACUGAAGAAAGCUAGUAGGCUCAGGAAACAUAUCCAGCAGGUUCUGAAUUGGGCCAUUA